UUUGGAAAGUGUUAAUAAGAUAGGCAGGGCUGAGGGGAGAGAACAAGAGAGGGAGAAGGGGGUAGAUUUUGAUGAGGAGGUGACGGCAAUGACAGUGACUGAGAAGGGCAAUAAAGCCAGGAGCAGGCUGUGGGAAGAGGGAGUGGCUUCCCUCAGAAGAGGCGCCGCCUCCCUAGCAGUGAGCAAAUGUGUUUAGGAGCUUGUUCUUCCUCCCAAUCCAGAGACGGAUUGCUGAGAUGAUUCCUGCUUUCCGGCUCCCCGACACCCGCUGUUCUUUAGAUCCGCUCAGCGGCGCUUUUUCCUGUGCCAUGUGCCCAGAUCUGAGCGAGGCUUGGGAAGAUGCGAACGGGCUGUAAAAUCUGUCCCCAGAACUGGAGAGUAAGAAUGCGCGGUGUGGGGCUGAGCUGAGUCCAGGGAGUGCGAGAAUUUAGCAGUCGUGCUGUGCCUGGGCAUUUCAGACUGUGCCACAGCCGGGCCUGCCUGUUCUGCAAUGUGGCUGAGGAAGGGAGCCAGAAACGCUGCUGCAGGGCUGGCUGUGGGCAGUGGCAGGAAGCAAACAGAGGCUCUCUGGCGACUUCUCUCCCCUGGAGGCCCUCCUCCCUCUACUUCUAGCCCCACUGCUGUGGGACAGUUGCAUCCUGGGGCUUUCUGUGGCUCUCCCAUCAGUGCCCUGGGGCUGGCAUAUGCGACACCUCCUCUGCCUAGGGCAUUCAGGCAUUCUUCAGUACUUGGUGAGCACCUCCUAGUGCCAAGCUCUGUCCUGGUCACAGGAGAGCACUCCUAUCCAUGUGUUGUCCCUGUCCUCACUGCGCUUUGGGCCGGAGAGGAGCUCACUGUCUGAUCCUUUUCCCCGACUGUGGCUUAAGGGGUUUCAUCUCUUGCUAGAGCCCUUCUAGGCAGGCAGCAGGUCCUGGUUUGUGAGCAAGGGGCUCCUCCUCCAUUUUGGAGCCUCGGCUGCCCUGCCUCCCCGGUAAUCUGGUAUUCUGGUAGUGCCUCUCUGGGCCCUGGUUUAAAAGGCCGAGAGAAGCUGUAUUCUGGAGAUCAGCUCCAGGUUCUCCCGCAGAGAGCAAGCUCCAGGCACAGGCAAAGGGUGUGGCUUCAGAGAAGAGCGAGGAUCUUGCCAUCUCUUUUACAGAUCCGUGGAAGGCAGAGAGAAUUUGGGAACCUGUGUGCUAUAAGCAUGGAAAAUUGGGACUCAGGUAAAAAGGCUGGUUCCUGGUCACACAGCUGGUCAUGGGCACUUUGGCAAAGGAGUGUGAGUUUUGGGGAAGCUCAAGGAAGAGGUACCAGGUAGAGAGAGGGCCAGGGCUGAGUUCACGGGCUCUUUCUAAAUGGAAAUGUCUCACAUUCAGCUGUUGUCUGCCUUUGAGUCACACAGAACCACUUGCAGGAAGAACUCUAGAGAAUUUGGGAAGAAAGGGGGAGAGGACAGACAAAAGAUGCAUUUUUUUUUCAAGAAGCAGGAAAAUGUAAGGAAAAUUGAAGGUGUUCUCAAGUGUGUCUGCUGCUGCCUGACACAGGUUAACCCCGUCGCAGGUCACUCCGCUCUGUUAAUUGCAUCCUAACCUUCCUCGGCUCUUCGGCAGCGAAAUCGCAGCAGAGGAGAUGGAGCAGCUUCGUGCGCAUUGCUCAUUUGCGCCAACGUGAAAAGAACUGCCAGGAUGCCCAGGACACCAGCUCCCUGGCUUCUGCGGGGCUUGCACAGUCCUGAAUCAGCCCGAGAGCUGUGGAUCUGCGUCCCCUGGCUGCAUAGCCGACUGCCGGCUCCAUGGAGGGGCCUGUGCCGGAGAACGCACAUGUUGACUUAUUUCUUCAGUCUAGGCCUUUCUUGGCCCCCUUGGUUAUUCAUUCUAGAUGAUACACCUCGUAUUUCAGUUCAAAUGUCUUACGGAAGAGGCAUUGAAGACAGAGUGGAUGCCCGUGUUCUUUGGCAGUAGGUAGUAUUUACCACUCCGGCUGUAGUAAAAGAACAAAAGGAGAAAUUACACCUAUUUCUCAUAUUUAAGGGAAAAGCAAUUAAAUCACCAAAGUCAGAUUCUCGAGUAAUUGCUGGGCCCUUGGAGGGGCGGGCAAGGUGAGGUGUGAGGCCCCAGAUCUCUGUCUUGUGUGGGGCUGACACUGCCUGCUGGGGACUCCAAGCAGAGGCGGGGCCAGGGAAGGCAGCAUGCAGGGGGAAACCGAGAGCCUCUUGCCAGCCUCCCCUCCCAGCUGCUAUCCAUGCACUUGUCGUAGCUUCCCCGCUGUCCUCAGGCCAGGCAAGAGGUAGCAGGGCUCCAGCUACAGAAGUUAUAGGAGGCGACUCUCAGAGCCUUGGUUUCCUCCAUUUGAAAUACUGAGAACAGUAUCUUCCAUACCUAGUUUCUAAAAGUUGUUAUGAAGAUUACGUAGAUUCAUACCUGUGAAGGCUGGUGAAAGAAUAAAACAGCCUAAACACACAAGGUGUUAAAAACAUCCCUUCCAACUAAAUAAUAGAUGAGUUGGAAUCCCAAGCAUGCCGGACAGCAGCAGUCACAGCGGAGGGGUGGGGGCCCCGGCCCUUACCAGGUGACCUCCCAUCGGUCAGGAGGACAAUGGCAUGUGGCAGUGCCGAGCACCACCUGGCUGGGAUCACUUCUCCCGCCUUCUUUUCUCCUUCUCCGGCCUGGGUCGGUAGCAUGGUCCGGAGAGCCAGCAGGCAGUCUCUCCCAGUCCGCAGAGGCAGAGGAGCUGUCUGAAUGUGCAGGGCGGCCACUGCCAACGCAGCCUGGGAUCAGGAGCUGCCCUGCCCCCGGUGAUCUCUGCAAAUCAAUGCUUACCCAGAAGGAAAACCAAUUUACAUUGGGUGAGUAACAGAGAAUGCCAAGUUCGUGUUAGGAGAUGAAGUUCUUUUGGAUGAAGGGAGGCCGGAGCCCUUUAAAAAUAGUAUUUUAUUUGUAUGUGUUCCCACUGCUGAGUAAGGUGUUCCUUAGGCCAGCUCUGGGCAAAAUUGGGAAGCUCCGUUUCAGCUCCCCCAAGCCCCACUUGUUUUAAAAUAGGUAUGUGAAAACUGUUACAAUAUCCAGGCAAGAUGGACAAUAGUAGAACUGACAUUCAAUCUUCAUUUUGAAGAGCAGUUAAAUGGGAGUGAGAUUAUAACACUGCUAAAAUAAGAUUAAUGUUAUAAUAAAUGCUAGCAUCCCAGAACAAUUGAAUAGAAAUAUAAUGAACAGCCAAGGCUGGUAAGUGGAAAUGUCAUCAACGGCCACAUAGGUAGAGUAAGUUACUACCUUUGAGGAUUGAGUUGGACUGUGCAUAAAAUGAGAUCCAGAAUAACUGUGGCUUUAGCUAGAUAGAGGUUUAUUUCUUUCUUACAUAAAAAUCUGGACACCACCCUCCCUCUUUUCUCUGUGUCCUCUGGAGUGAGGGCAACUUUGCUUAUCUAACACACUAGACGCUGGGGUGUCUGGCCUCCAUUGCUCAUUGCUUCUUCUUUCUUGUGGUUCCACAUGGGCUUCUGUUCCCCCAGGAUACCUCUAGGUCCAAGAUGACUGCUGUAGCACUGCCCAUCACGCCUGCAUUCCUGCCAGCAAGAAAGAGGAAUGAGGAAGACGUGGCAAAGAGCAGACACCUGCUGUCUCUUAAAGAAGAUUCCCAGAAACUGCAGCACACACUUUCACUUACAUCCCAUGGGCUGAGCCUUGGUCUAGGACUAUACCUAGCUGUCUCUAUUCAGUCAGCCAGUGCCUGCAAAAAACAAGUACUAUGAAAGAAGUGGGAAGCACACUGGCCACCACUGAUGAUCUCUGUCAUUUGUGUAAUUUCCAGAUUUCUGGGAAGUGCCUCUGCCUUCCCCUACCUUCCUGCAUCUCCCAGUCCACUUAGCUGAUGCCUGCAUUCUCAACAGUUGUUAAGUCUCUCACUAAGACAAAGAGGACUUUCUCAUGCCGAAACCUUCUUGCUCCAGGUCAUUUGGAGAGUUCCCGGUGCUGAUUUGUUUUUUUCCCCCCAAUAUUUCCCCAGCCCAACUGAGCUGAUUUCCGGGUGAUUCACCUCCAAGAUAUUUUUUUUCCUGUUGUCCACCCUCUCAGAGGGCAUUACCUAUUCAAGCAGACAGCAUUCACUGAGGCUCACUAUAUGCCAGCUCUUACACUCGGUUUUAUAUUCUUCUUCUCACGUAGUCUCUAGCACAGCUCUAAGAGAUGAUUGCUCUUCAUGGAAAUUAGGAUCAAAAUCGUGGUACACACCAGUGUGAUCCUAUGCCCUAGCCCUGCUGCCAAUCUUUAUGCCACACUACCUCUCCUGUAUCCUGUAUGAUCUCUGUCACCAUGCCCAUCUUAUAGGUUAGGGAAGAAGGUGAAUAAGUUUCCAUGGUAGGCCUGACAUGGGGCUGAGUCCUGGGGAGAAGGCACAUUUCUCUUGGUCCUAGUUCUCAAGGCAUGUGUGUAAAGCAGAGGGGAGGGGAGCUGGAGGAAGUUAACACAAUUCCUAUAUGAUAUAAGGCCAACUGGGAUGUUUUCUAAGAGGUGAAAGUAGGUUACUUUCACUGCAGAUGUUCAGGAGAUGUAAGGUUGAGACACCUGAAGGGUGGCAUGAAACGAGUCAACUACUCUGCCCCAGCUACCCCUCCUUUCCUGUGGCUUGGCUGUAGGGCUUCACCAGUCCACACCCAGUCGAGUUAAGGUCCUUAUUGUGUGAGCCAGCUGUCAGCUGGGUUCCCGCCUAGGAGAAUCUGGUCAAAUUUUACUGGAAUCCUCAUUCCGUGGCCUUGGAAGAACUCAGAGUCCUUCCUGCAAUUUCUUUUCCUUAGUGCUUUCUUCCUUCAGCCUCCCUUAGCCUCAUUGCCUGAAUGUCACCUCCUUAGUCCAUGCCACUGUUUUCAUGGAAGGUCAUUCUCAAGCCUGUUUCUCAGUUUAGCAGCUUUAUUGGAGAAUCAUUCUCUGAGAUAGGACCCCCUCCUAGGAAUCCCCCCAGUCUUUUAUUAGAAAAGGCCCACCCUUUUUGCCUUUUCUCUCCCUCCUCUGGGAUGACUUCAGCUUUAUGUCUAACACAUGAUUCCUCAACAUUUGCGAAUUUUAUACUCAACCAAUUUAUGAAAGUAUUUUUCUCACCAAGACCUGAUUUCUUAUGCUGUAAGAGAUCCUGGAGAAUUAAGUUUCCUUCUCUUGUUACUCUUGACGUUUUGGUGACUGUAUUGGUAGAGCAGAAGUUAAUCUAAAUCUCCAGGUCAAAAAGCAAUGCCGUGAUGCUGUUGAAAGUGGUGAUGAGAAACCCUGGUCCCUCAUGUGGGCCUGGGAGGCAGGGCCUUGAGAUUAUGGUGAGGUCAUUGGCCCUGAAGCAAUGGGACUGGCUACUUGUCAGAUGUGGCAGUUGCUAACAAUUGUGAAGAUGGUUGUAAUGAAAACACCUGCUUCACAAUAUAUGAGUUGGGCCAUUGAUGGAAGCCCUAGAGAUACUUAGUGCUUACCACAUCCAGGUAUUCAUUCCUGAGCACAUGAGAAGACUCAAGUUGUCCUGAAAGUAGUUCAAGAUCAUCUAACCAGCACUACCCAGUGGACUUUGAGUAAAAAGGCAUAUCAUUUUUGUUCUGAGGCAGUUAAGAGUCUCCCAUGCUCACUCUAUCCGUGGGAGCCAGGAGUUGAAAUGGUAGCAGCAUGGAAUGGGAAGACCUUAGAUCCUUGAGACAUCAGAUGGAGGAGAGUCCUGCUGACCUGCAUCAGACUUUGCAUGAACAACAUAUAAUCUUCUAUAAGGUUGAACCCCUGCUACUUUAUUUGUUACUGUAGCAUAGCAGAGUGUGUCCCAACAAACACAGAUAAUAUGGAAAUGUAUAUAGCUUUUACUCAGCUCUGCCACUGGGAUAUUUCUGGAUAUUUAGUAGCUUCCAAAGGUUUGCUGGUUAAGGGGUGUUUUGGAAGAAGAAAGGGAUGAUUUUCUGUAUUCUUUACUUAUUUCUGUUGUUUUUUUCUUAAGUGGUCAUCAUUUCAAAAAGACUAGGUAAUAAGGUGAGAGGUACUGAAAUAGAAGUGCCAACAGACAAAAUUGGAGAGAAGCAUUUGGUAGGAUGGUUUGCAAAAAACCCCUCAAGCCUCUGCUUGCCUAAUUGAUAUGCUGUUCUGGAACAAUUCAGCCUGACACAGGUGCUCCUGCAGGUUAGUUAAAAGGAGAGUGCAGUGCGGAAUCCAUAUGCUACCAUUCCGCCUUUCAAAGCAGCAGAGAAUCUGAGGCUGUGUCUCCAUUAGUAAUCACCAGACAUAACAGUUAAACAUGUAUCACACCAGGCUCAAAAAUCCCUGGAAGAUACUUUGUGUCCAUUCUGUUCUACUCUGAAUCUGUUCAUAAUAUUGGUAAAAUGGGACAAGAGGUUGGAGAAGAAGAAGAAGGGAAGGAAACCCCCGACAAGAUUUGGAAAGCAGAGAAUUCACAUAUUCUACUCUUGGAAGCUUAAAGAGUGUCCAACAGAGUGCCUAAUAAAGCGUAAAGUGAAUAUUUAUUGAACCAAUGGUGACCAUGUGCUAAGAGGUUGAACAUAUCAGUUAUCAGUGGAGAUUCUGGCUAUGAAGAGAGGUGGUUAGUACCAUCCAGUGCAGCUCACCACCUGACACACACAUGGCAAGGUCUGGGACAGCUAAGCCUGCAUAUGCUGUGUGUAGUUUAAUUCUCUUUUCCAUAUUCUUUGAUCCAGUUCCUGUGGGUGUGGACAUUCCAGUCACAGAACAGCAGCUCUACAUCUAGGAGGCUCCUGAAGAACCCAAACUAACUAUGAAAAUGCAAGUGAAAAGUCCUGCUCUGGUGUGUUACAGGUGCUGCUUCUAGAAAACCCCUUUAUUAGAAAGCAGCAUGAAACCAGCGUUGGGAUAUAAGAGGAUGUGCUUUGUUAAAAGAAAACCUCUUUCUAAUACUCCCAACCAAAGAGCCAGAGGUCUUGUCUAACUAAAUGCCACCUUUCUGUGAUUCUUGGAGCUUCAUCUUCAAAGACUGAGAGGAUCCUCCUUCAUCUGAAACCUCUCAGAAAGGGAAAGGUUGGUCGUGACUUGUCCCCUCAACAAGGAACUUCAGGAACUGCCAACUGUGUUCAGUAACCCUUCUCUGACAGGAUGCUCUCCAGAAAAAUUCCUGCUAGCUUGACUCAGAAGAAGAGCAGCCUGUGCAUGAGCCUGUUCCCCUUGAGAAUUUCCUCUUCCUUCAUUAGUGUCUUGCGAUGGCCACAUUUUCCAUUUCUGUGACUUCCUACCAGCUUUUCAAAUGCUUAACUACAAACUAAAGUUAUUCUGGCAUUGGCAAUGUGAUCUCUGGAUUCUCACAACUAGCUUUCCUCAAGAUGAAUAUUGGGACGAGUUUGGUAGCAGACUGUAUGAUAAGGAGCACUGGAGUGGGAGUCAGAAAGCAUUGUGAACCCUACAGGGCAAGUGACUUCAUCUCUCUCAAUCUCAUUGUCAUCAACCGUAAGUGAGAGUGAAUGAAGGAUGCUCCCAACUGUCAAACCCUGUAAGUCAAGAAAACCUGUGCUCCAGAGGAGAACAUGAACAUUGGCAAAAAGGUAUUUAUACAUCCUUCACCAUAUUUUUGUAGAUGAGUCUGAAAGAAUUUUGAAUUCACCUAGCAAUUGCACUAUCCUGAUUUCAUAUGGAAAACACAGUUUCAAGAAGUUAACCGCAAGGCUUGCACACUGGCUGGCUUCCAGCCUUCUCCUCACAGAGUAGAUUAACUAAUCCAGACAAUUACUGUCAAACAAAGGAGCAGGUUGGAAAUUCUUGGAGGAUUUUUUUUUUGGUACAGCUUGUAUAGUUAAAUUGAGAGACCUCAAGUGGAAUUGUUUUCAUGAAUAAUUUAAGUAACUAUUCUAUUUAUCUAGUGCUUGUUGGGUAAAAAUUUACAAAAAUUAUGAAAGUUGGAUCAACUGACCAAUUUGAAGGACAAACAUGAUUCCAGCUUUCUUUUACUUUAUUUUUUCCCCUAGGACCACAGCAAUUAGAAUAAUUUUAUCACGAGUUUGAGCAAAUAAGUCAUCCAAUCCCAAACUGAAAGUAAUUGAAAAGUAAACCAUCACAACAUCCCACCUCAAACAGGUGUACUGGGAAGCAGUGUGUGUAUAUAGCACACCUUAUAAAAUGAAAUAGGCAGGGUACAAAAUUUCUGAAAACAGAAUCUCUCAAUUAGGACCUUCCCCAUGUGUAUGCCAUUACCUUGAUAAAAUUGAGACUUGACCAGUGGCUCAAUAAAUUUGGGGAAAACAGAAACAAUUAAGUUCUCACUUCAGAUUCAUACUUUUUAAAUUUUCUUUUAUAUUUUCAGAUUUAUGGUCUUAAUGCAGGCUAGGUAUUGCAUUUUGACAAUGGAAUCUGAAACAGCUACGACUCUAGAUUUUGUAAAUUCUUCUUGACCAUAGCAGUGGCUUAGUUUUAACUGUGAUUACUGUCUCAUUGGUCAAACUGUUUUGACAGAAAGGACAUUUUAUUGAGAGGUUAGUCCCCAAAAGACAUGCUUUGGAGAUCUUUUUCAAAUGUUCAAAUAAUGGAUGGCUUAGUUUAUACUCUUUACCCGAAAAUGAAAAUUCUGGCAUUCUCAUUAGCCUUCUCACAAAGCAAGUCUUUAAAGCUUCCCCAACACAUGUGAAAACCGAAUUUUAUGAGGAUUCAAGACCAGCCAGGAAACUUUAGUAAAGACUAGAUUUCAGAACAGCAGAUCUUUAGUUGUGCAAAGGACAUUGCUAAACUUCUGGGUUGGAAGGUAUCCUGAUAUACCUAAUUCUAUUUAUGAAACUGCAUAUGUGCUUUGAAACUCCGUUUAGAUCCAGCUCUUUCAGUUAGAGAUGGAAACCAUAUGUGUGUCUAAGGCCCUUAUGUUUUGCCUUGGAGAGUCUUAGAUUUUGUUUUGAUUUCAAACUUGGCAUCAUUUUCAGAUUUGGAGGCAUCCUGGGUAUGUCCUUGACCCUCUGUGUCAUGCAGAAACAUUUUUGUUAUCCAUUAUUACUCUUCUUAGAUGAGUCUCAGGGCCAUAUGCUUCGAAAGGUGUUGUGCCUUUCUUUCUCAGAAAAGUUAUUCUAAGUAAAACAGAGAUCCAAAGAAAAUAUGUGGAACAUUCAGGCUCACAAUCUUGUACAUAGUAAAAUAGUUUUUUGUUUAUUGUUUAUUUGAAUUAAUCAGGUCUGCUUUUCCCCUUUAUUCCUUAUUUCUUUUGUGGGAAGUGAACUAAAGCUUCUGCUGCACCAUGAACCCAAGAAUUGUAGACAUAUCCCAGUGGCCAGAUGGCUGACUACCCACCAAGUCUACCUUCCCAUUCUCUCAAGGUAAUGAGCUAGCUGUAGCCCAAUAUGUGACCUCUCAGUUGGUGGCUAUGUUUCAAGAGCCACUUGCAGGUGUGUGUCUGAGUUCCUUCCAGAGGAAUGUGAGCAGAAGGGACAGGAGACAUUUCUAGGCCCUGGGUCUGACAUACAGCCUUCCCUGUGGUUGGUGCUGAACUACAGAGUAGCCGAAGACCAACUGGCUUUGAGCAUACAGGUGCAGGACUACUGUAUGAGAGAUGAAAAACCUUCUUUGUCCUUAAAAUGAACUUUUUCCCUAAAAUUACAUGUAGACCUUGGGGCUCAUGCAUAAGAAUUAAAGAGAAAGUGGGAAAGAAAUCUCUUUUUGUUUCCUUGCAUAGAACGGAGACAUGGAGGAGUUUGGUGUCUUAGUAAGUAGUUGGCUUUGGCUGAAAUGAGUGUAUGUGGGUGUGUGAGUGUGAGAGAGAGAGAGAGUGUGUGUGUGUGUGUGUGUGUGUACGUGUUGGGGGCUGGGGCCCAGGACGAGGGGUUGUGGAUUACAGGAGGCCUCUUUUUUAAAUUUAAAUUAAAAUUUUUUUUUGAGACAGAGUCUCACUCUGUCACGCAGCUUGGAGUGCAGUGUUUGAUCAUAGUUCAUUGCAGCCUCAACCUCCCUGGCUCAAGCAAUUCUCCUACCUCAACCUCCUAAGUAGUUGGCACCACAAAUGUGCAUCACCAUGCCUAGCUAAUUUUUUUUUUUUAUUUUUGGUAGAGACAGAAUCUCUCCAUGUUGCCCAGGCUGGUCUUGAACUCCUGGGCUCAAGCAAGCAAUCCUCCUGCCUCGGCCUCCCAAAGUGCUGGGAUUACAAGUGUGAGUCACUUCGCCCUGCUGAAAGACUUCUUAGUGAGCACAACAAGGACAAGCACUGGGGUCAGAUUCCCAAGGUGGACCCACAUUUGAGGGAUGGUCAUGGUCAUAGAAAGUUUAAGGGAGCAAAAGAGUCCAGGAAAAUAAUGAAGCAGCAAAUGCUGGAGAAAGUGGUAUCACGAAGCCAAGGAAGAAGAUUCCAAUUGAUACAGAUAUUUGCUACUACAUUUUUUGCUGGUUUUUUUUUGAAAUGAGAAUAAUUCUUAUUUUUCUUCUAUAAGAAUUUUUCUUACGAAAUAAGAAGUUUUCAAAGGGAAUUCAAUGAAAAAAUUAACCAAUUUAUCCUUUGGUCCUAGGGCUUGGUUUAGAUGAAUAAAUACCCAUAUCUUGUACCCAGUGCUACCUGUGACAGUCUAGUUGCUCCAAAUACUUGCUCUGCCUCUUUGAAUAGUACUUUUUCCAAGCUGCUUUAAAGUUCUAAUUUUUUAGCAAUAAUUUUAAUGGCUUUGUCAUUGUUGAGGAGAAGGUGGUAAAGUAUCAUGGAGAUAAGAGAAACCGGAUCUAUAGAGUCAAAGAGAAGAGAAGCAAAGGAAUACUUAAUUGGAUGAUUUAAGACAAGUUCCAUUCCACUUUUUAAAAAUUAGUUGAAAAAUUUUAGACUGAGGCGAUUGAGAAACUUGUUUCAAGACUUCAGAAUUUAUGGGUUAGGAUAUGCAGGAAUGAGGUCUAUGUUUCUCCAACUUGUCCUGUCUUAUUUGACUAAGCAUAAUGGUGAAAGGUACAGAUUUGAAAAUCAGGUGGCCUGGAGUCACGGCCCUGCUCAGCCACUCAUUAGCUGUGUGAUUUCAGUCAAGUUAGUCAGCUUCUCUGUGCCACAGCUUCUUCAUCUGCAAAAUGGGGAUAACGACAGAAUCUGUCACAGCCCAGGUUCUCCCCACGGUGGAGUGUGAACAAAGAGAUCUAUCUUUCUGAGUUGCUUAUCUUAGAAAGAGAUCCCAGAUAGCAGGAGAGAGAGACAGGGGAGGUGGGACAGGGACAAAGGGAAGGCCAACUCAAGGAUGUGUGUUAGGAUGGCCACUGCUGUGGGUGACAGAUUGCUCCAAUGUUGAGGACUUGAUCUGUCUUGUGAAGACACUGCAUUUGGCACCAGGCUGUUCAUUUUAAUCAGUCUUUCAUAACCUUCUCACUGUGUCCUUUUCACAUGUUCUGCCAUGUCUUCAUGUCUUUUUCUUCUUCUUCUUUUUUUUUUUAAGAUGGAGUCUCGCUCUGUUGCCCAGGCUGGAGUGCAGUGGCGCGAUCUUGGCUCACUGCAAGCUCCGCCUCCCAGGUUCAUGCCAUUCUCCUGCCUCAGCCUCCCGAGUAGCUGGGACUACAGGCGCCCACCACCACGCCCUGCUAUUUUUUUUCUUUUUUGUAUUUUUAGUGGAGACAGGGUUUCACCGUGUUAGCCAGGGUGGUCUCGAUCUCCUGACCUCGUGAUCCACCUGUCUCGGCCUCCCAAAGUGCUGUGAUUACAGGCAUGAGCCACCGCCACCGUGGCCAGCCCCUUU